rnacentral:lncRNA from 1 species
AGGCUUAACAGGAAGCAUGACUGGAAGACCUCAGGAAAUUUGCAAUCGUGGUGGAAGGUGAAGGGGAAGCAAGCACGUCUUUACCAUGGUGAAACAGGAGAGAGCCAAGGGGAAAAAACUACAAACUUAUCAAACAACGAGAUCUUGUGAGAAUUCCAUCACAAGAACAGCAAGGGGGAAGUCUGCCCCAUGACUCAAUCGCCUCCCACCAGGCCCUUCUUCUGACAUGUGGGGAUUAAAAUUCAAGAUGAGAUUUGGUUAGGGACACAGAGCCAAACCAUAUCACUGCCCCAGCCCCUUCCAAAUCUUGUUUCUUUUCAACAUUUCAAAACCAAUCAUGCCUUCCCAACAGUCCUCCAAAGUCUUAACUCAUUCCAGCAUUAACUCAAAAGUCCAGGUCCAAAGUCUCAUCUGAGACAAGGCAAGUCCCUUCUGCCUUUGAGCCUGUAAUAUCAGAAGCAAGCUAGUUACUUCUAGGAUAAAAUGGGGGUACAAGAAUUGAGUAAAUGUUCCCAUUUCACAAGGGAGAAAUUGGCCAAAACCAAGGGGCUACAGGCCCCGUGCAAGUCUGAAACCCAGCAGGGAAGUCAUUAAAUGUUAAAACUCCAAAAUAAUCUCCUUUGACUCCAUGUCUCACAUCCAGGGCAUGCCGAUGCAAGGGGUGGGCUCCCACAGCUUCUGGCAGCAUCUAAGUUAUUUUAUGAAAGAGCCCAUUGAUUAUAU